rnacentral:rRNA from 1 species
GGAUGAACGCUGGCGGCGUGCCUAAUACAUGCAAGUCGAGCGAACAGACAAGGAGCUUGCUCCUUUGACGUUAGCGGCGGACGGGUGAGUAACACGUGGGUAACCUACCUAUAAGACUGGGAUAACUUCGGGAAACCGGAGCUAAUACCGGAUAAUAUUUCGAACCGCAUGGUUCGAUAGUGAAAGAUGGUUUUGCUAUCACUUAUAGAUGGACCCGCGCCGUAUUAGCUAGUUGGUAAGGUAACGGCUUACCAAGGCGACGAUACGUAGCCGACCUGAGAGGGUGAUCGGCCACACUGGAACUGAGACACGGUCCAGACUCCUACGGGAGGCAGCAGUAGGGAAUCUUCCGCAAUGGGCGAAAGCCUGACGGAGCAACGCCGCGUGAGUGAUGAAGGUCUUCGGAUCGUAAAACUCUGUUAUUAGGGAAGAACAUACGUGUAAGUAACUAUGCACGUCUUGACGGUACCUAAUCAGAAAGCCACGGCUAACUACGUGCCAGCAGCCGCGGUAAUACGUAGGUGGCAAGCGUUAUCCGGAAUUAUUGGGCGUAAAGCGCGCGUAGGCGGUUUUUUAAGUCUGAUGUGAAAGCCCACGGCUCAACCGUGGAGGGUCAUUGGAAACUGGAAAACUUGAGUGCAGAAGAGGAAAGUGGAAUUCCAUGUGUAGCGGUGAAAUGCGCAGAGAUAUGGAGGAACACCAGUGGCGAAGGCGACUUUCUGGUCUGUAACUGACGCUGAUGUGCGAAAGCGUGGGGAUCAAACAGGAUUAGAUACCCUGGUAGUCCACGCCGUAAACGAUGAGUGCUAAGUGUUAGGGGGUUUCCGCCCCUUAGUGCUGCAGCUAACGCAUUAAGCACUCCGCCUGGGGAGUACGACCGCAAGGUUGAAACUCAAAGGAAUUGACGGGGACCCGC